rnacentral:sRNA from 1 species
AUUGCACCAGUACUAGCAACUUACAAAAUGUCUGAAAAUGUAAGCUUCUUCCUCAGAAUCUGCACAAAAGUCAGCUUUCCUUCACUAGCCAUCACGUCUCAUUUUAACUGCUUUAAAAAUAAACCCAAUUAUAUGAAUUUUCCAGGUCAUAUAAAGAGCUGUUCUCUCAAAUAAAUAUGUCAUCACCUGCUCCUCACAGUUGGCCUCUUUUGGAAUGGGAACGGCAGAGACAUCACUGUCCAGGGCUAUCAGGAAGGGUAACGUAUACUCCAGAAAACCUUUGCAGAAAACUGUUCUUACAACAUGAAGGACUUAAGCAAUUAAUAUGUGAAGAAAUGGGCUCUGUUAGAAAGGGCUCACUGAUCUUCUCUAGGAGCUGGUCUUUGGAUCUGGGCUUGCAAGAGAACCACAAAGUCCUCUGUGAUGCUCUUCUGAUUUCCCAGGACAAGCCUCCAGUCCUAUACACCUUCCACAUGGUACAGGAUGAGGAGUUUAAAGGCUAUUCUACACAAACUGCCCUAACCUUAAAGCAGAAGCUGGCAAAAAUUGGUGGUUACACUAAAAAAGUGUGUGUCAUGACAAAGAUCUUCUACUUGAGCCCUGAAGGCAAGACAAGCUGCCAGUAUGAUUUAAGAUCGCAAGUAAUUUACCCUGAAUCCUACUAUUUUACAAGAAGGAAAUACUUGCUGAAAGCCCUUUUUGAAGCCUUAAAGAGACUCAAGUCUCUGAGAGACCAGUUUUCCUUUGCAGAAAAUCUAUACCAGAUAAUCGGUAUAGAUUGCUUUCAGAAGAAUGAUAAAAAGAUGUUUAAAUCUUGUCGAAGGCUCACCUGAUGGAAGAUGGACUGGGCUACU